rnacentral:sRNA from 1 species
GCCCGGCACUCAGCCUUUCUAUUACAGCC